rnacentral:rRNA from 4 species
GGUUAAGCGACUAAGCGUACACGGUGGAUGCCCUGGCAGUCAGAGGCGAUGAAGGACGUGCUAAUCUGCGAUAAGCGCCGGUAAGGUGAUAUGAACCGUUAUAACC